GAGCUACUGAAGGGCUUUAAGCAGAGGAGAUCCAAUUUGUGAUUUGAGGCUCCUCUGGUUGCAAUUUGUGGAACGGACUGGAAUAGGCCCAGUAGUAGAAGCAGGAGAUGGAAGCUAUUUGCAGUGGUCCAGGGGAGAGCUGAUGAUGCAGACUCUGAGAUGAGGACGGAGUGCAAAGAAUUUCAUCAAGGAAGUCCCCCCAGCUGGCAACGAAAGAGGAGACAAGUCCAGAAGGAGCAGCUGCCAAGCAAGAGUACAAAAUUUUAGGGCAGGCCUGCUCAUUCUUUCCUCGCUCCGGAAGGGUCUUCGGCACUAAUUGGCUGUUUGGUCGCUCGAUCUUGACAGUACGAGGAACGUCUACUUCUUCAAUACCCAGCUCAGAAGUCAUUCUCUGUGUACCACCUUCCCAGUUCCACCAGGCUCUGAAAAUUUUGUGUUGUAACUGUUUGUUCUCACCAGUCUUCCCUGACUACAUUAUAAAACCUUCAAGGACAGAUAAGUCAUCUUCAUUCCCAUUUAUUCAUUCAUUUGUUUAGAGGAAGCAUAAUAUAAAAGUUAAGAGUGCAGACUAUGGAUUCACAGAUAAUCUGGGGUUAAGGUCUGAUUUCACAACUUAUUGGCUAUAUAAUAUAUGAAAACGACUUAACCUUUUUAAGCCAUUAUUUCUCACUUGUAAGGAUGAGCAUAGUGGAAGUAUUUUUCAUGUAGGGUUGUUAAAAGAUUUAAACACAUAUAAUUUAUUGGGCUCUUACUAAAAAGUGAAGCAUUAUGCAGAUAAUAGUAAUUACUAUGAUUAUUUAUUCAACAAAUACUUAUUGCAUAAAUAUUAUGUGCCUCCAGGAUCUGCCAAGAUGUUUGGUAUAGAGUUAGGGCUUGGUAAAUGUUCACUGAAUGGAUAAAUAAUGAACGAGACAAAAUAAA